rnacentral:rRNA from 1 species
GUACACUCCUACGGGAGGCAGCAGUGGGGAAUAUUGCACAAUGGGCGCAAGCCUGAUGCAGCCAUGCCGCGUGUAUGAAGAAGGCCUUCGGGUUGUAAAGUACUUUCAGCGGGGAGGAAGGCGAUAAGGUUAAUAACCUUGUCGAUUGACGUUACCCGCAGAAGAAGCACCGGCUAACUCAGUGCCGGCAGCCGCGGUAAUACGGAGGGUGCAAGCGUUAAUCGGAAUUACUGGGCGUAAAGCGCACGCAGGCGGUCUGUCAAGUCGGAUGUGAAAUCCCCGGGCUCAACCUGGGAACUGCAUUCGAAACUGGCAGGCUAGAGUCUUGUAGAGGGGGGUAGAAUUCCAGGUGUAGCGGUGAAAUGCGUAGAGAUCUGGAGGAAUACCGGUGGCGAAGGCGGCCCCCUGGACAAAGACUGACGCUCAGGUGCGAAAGCGUGGGGAGCAAACAGGAUUAGAAACCCCGGUAGUCCC